AAAGUGCAACCGCACGAGGUAAGGUUUAAGUGACUUAGUCCACCUGCUUAGGCGAGUCUAA
rnacentral:sRNA from 1 species